rnacentral:rRNA from 1 species
UUCCGGUUGAUCCUGCCGGAGGUUACUGCUAUCGGAGUUCGAUUAAGCCAUGCGAGUCUAAAGGUUUCUUCGGAAACCUUGGCGGACUGCUCAGUAACACGUGGAUAACCUACCCUUGGGACUGGAAUAACCCCGGGAAACUGGGGAUAACACCGGAUAGAUCAGGGAUGCUGAAAUGCACCUUGAUCCAAAGCUCCGGCGCCCAAGGAUGGGUCUGCGGCCUAUCAGGUAGUAGUGGGUGUAACGUACCUACUAGCCAACGACGGGUACGGGUUGUGAGAGCAAGAGCCCGGAGAUGGAUUCUGAGACACGAAUCCAGGCCCUACGGGGUGCAGCAGGCGCGAAACCUUUACAAUGUGCGAAAGCAUGAUAAGGGAACUCCGAGUGCCAGUAUCUAAUACUGGCUGUCCUUGUGCCUAAAACGCACAAGAUAGCAAGGGCCGGGUAAGACCGGUGCCAGCCGCCGCGGUAACACCGGCGGCCCGAGUGGUAGCCGCUAUUAUUGGGUCUAAAGGGUCCGUAGCCGGUUCGAUAAGUCCUCUGGGAAAUCUGGUUGCUUAACAAUCAGACUGCCAAGGGAUACUGUCGAACUUGAGACCGGGAGAGGUAAGAGGUACUUCAGGGGUAGGAGUGAAAUCUUGUAAUCCCUGGGGGACCAUCUGUGGCGAAGGCGUCUUACCAGAACGGGUCUGACGGUGAGGGACGAAAGCUGGGGGCGCAAACCGGAUUAGAUACCCGGGUAGUCCCAGCCGUAAACGAUGCUCGCUAUGUGUCAGGUACGGUGUGACCGUAUCUGGUGCCGUAGGGAAGCCGUGAAGCGAGCCACCUGGGAAGUACGGCCGCAAGGCUGAAACUUAAAGGAAUUGGCGGGGGAGCACUACAACGGGUGGAGCCUGCGGUUUAAUUGGAUUCAACGCCGGA